GCAGGGACAGAUCAUGACCUUUUAAUCAGAAUAGGCUUAGAUUGAGUUUUUUGGUACAAAAUAAAUUUCGCUUCUAGUAGGAUUUGCCAGAGACCACCCUGGGGGAAGGUUCGAUGGUUCAUUUGGAGAUCUUGGGAUUUGGAGUCAGGUUCAUUUGUACACAAGCACAGGAGGACACCAGCCCCAUGCGAAGCCCAGGGGUCAUACUCGUUCUUCUGUAGAAGGUUAUCUGCAUAAUUUUGUGACACCUGAACUGUGUGUAUUCCUUCAGGUAGACAUUCCUGAAAUCUCUACUUGGGCUAAUGGCCUUUCCUCUGAGUUCCCUUCUGCUGUCAUGAUCAACACAGUGAGUGGAAUAGGAGGAUCUCAAUAUGUGAGAGAAUAGAGUUGCAGCUAACUGCUCAGAAACUGUACAUCACUAAAGCCCAACAACCAAGUGAGAGAGACUGCUACUGAUGGGUCAAUAACAACUGUGGAGAUUCUGAAUCAUUGGAGCGCUCGACAAAAGAAAGCUAAUGGAUGAUGUGAAAAUCCACAUAUGCCCAUGAGAGUAUAUUGAGCACAUAAAUGUUGUUGCUUGGUGUGUUCCUGAGAAGAGACAUUUGAGAACCACUGUUUUGGAGUCAGAAGCAGCACAGAAGAAUUCAUUUCAGCUCCAAAUGGGUUAUUUAACCACUGGCUGUCAGACAUGUAGACAGCGUCAUGUUUUAGUUUGACCUAGAUUUGUAAUGGGAUGCGCCUAAUUCCUUCAAUGAAAUGAAACUUUAAUGAAUCUUUAGGUAGAACUCUUAAGUGCCAAAAAACCAUUUUCCCAGAGCUAGUGUGAACUUCUUGACAAACUAAAGAAUUUACUCUUUUUGAGCCAAGAGGAAACCUCUGUUUGUUAUACACUCCCAUGCCAUUUGAUUAUUGAGGGAGAAGGAAUGGGAGCGGUAUCCAAAACAGAUGGGAAGGUGAGCACCACGUGCUUAUUGUCCCUGGGAGUGGACCCUUCCUUGCCCUCAAUGUAUGUGCUAAAUGAAGUCGGAUGUGGUCAGUCAAGUGGUUGUAGCUAAAUUAGACUGUUCAUGGGAAUCAGCUUCUUUGGCCUAUUACAGAGACCUUAAAUACCAUUUUAUAAAUCCUGAAAAUAAGUCUUUCUCUAGAUAAACAUCAGUAAAGCAAGGAUUGGGGGGAUACUAAUAAACACCUUACAUUUAUAGAGAUCUUAUAGAUUUUAUACUUGGAAAAAAUACUAUUUUGUAACCUGACAUGGCAGCCAAUACAGGAAAACCAAUGAAAGAUUCACAUGCAGGGAGAGUAGUGUUCCUACAGCAGGAAAUAAUUAUGGUCAGCCAUGUGGGAGUAGAGUCAUCCCAAAGUUAGCUGACUACAGUGGAUUAAGUUCACAUCUGGCUGAUAGAGUCGAUCCAAAAAUGAUUCUGGGAAUGCAGGAAAGCAUUUGACAGGGCUGUGAUUUUGUCUAUCUUUGUGAGCACCAGCUGGCGGUGCUUCAUCCAUGCAUUCAUUAUGACAUCAUUUUAUGGACAAUUCAUGGACCAAGAAGAUCUGAGAAUCCCUGGGGUGAUGGGAAAUGCCACGGACAUCCAUGGUCUUGGAUGCUCAGUGAGUAAACAAUGAUUUUUAAGCAGUUCCCAAGGCCUGAGAAAUAGUUGGUCGUCACCCAGGUCUACACCCUUCAGCAUGAGUUUUCUUGGGGAGGAGCUGGAUAUGUCUGCAAGCCCCAUACUGGCCCCACAUGUCUCUAACUAACUAGAGUAAAUAAAGCUAAUAUGGAGGAGAUUGUCUUGAACUGAACUCUUAUGGAAAAUGUUUGCACGAGGAGUCUGAAUGCUAAGACACUAAUGUCUCAUUUCAUUGGUGCCAGUUAAUGCCCUGUCAUAGCACUGGCAUGCAUAAGGCAUGAGUGCAGUGUUGCUCUGGAAAAACAAAAAGAAAUUCAGAAAAUUCUUACACCUGCAUGCCUAAGCCUUCAUGAUUAUAAUAUUUUAAGCAUUAUAUGGAAAGAUACACUUUCAGCUUAGUAGAUAAUAGGUACAGAUACAUGCACACAUAUAUAUAUUCAUACUCAUAUAUAGAUAUAUAGAGAAUCAUCCAUCUUGGACAUUCAACUGAUUUUUCCUAUAUUAGCUCUCAUAACUCUCAAGAUUCUACAUGAUAUCUAAACUAGGCUUAUUUUCUUCCAUCAUACCUCUAUUCUGCAUUUCCACUCCUACCUCAGCUGAGUAUCACUAUUCUCUGUAAUUCUUGUUUAAGACAACUGAAAAGAUACGAUUAAGUUUCUCUGAAAGAUGUGACCAAUGACUUUGUCCUCUGCCAGCUUUCAGGACUUUGCUUACAUGUCUCUCAUUUUCCAUUCCGUUGCUUCUUGUAGUCAUCAUUAUUUCAGUACACGCUCAAAGAUCUGGAGUGUGCAUCUCAAUACAUGUUACAUUUUGGAAAUGAUCUGUUAGCUUUUAUUUUAGGCAGCUUUGCUUGUGAAAAACAAACCUGAUCUGUAUUUUUCACUUAGGUAACUUGACUUCUCUUUUUGUGACUGAACCCAACCAACCAAAAUUUUCACAUUCAGUGCAUAUUUGUAGUCAGGUAACAAAGGUCUGUAGUCAGUGCAUAUCUGUAGUCAGUUAACAAAAGGGCCAGGUACAGAAAUGAUUGAAUUUGCAAAUUGAUCUCCAGUGCCAUAAUCUCUCCCUUUGGCAGUAAUAUCGCUAGACCUCCAAGUUUAAAAGCUCUGUAUCUCUGGUUAGAGGGCUUACGAGGAAAAUGCUUUUUUGGCCUGUUGAAAUUGUUCUAACUAAAUUCAUUUUACUUCUUGAACUCAUGAUGUCAAGUUAGAUAUUUGCUGAACAUAGAUAAAUGAAUGGUAUUCUCUCAACUAAUAGACAUGCCCUUAGUUCUGAAUGGACCAAUUUCAACAUCAAACAUGUUUAACUUAGCAAACAUAAAUUGACCAUGGGUUUCUUUUGGCAGCUACUAAUUUGUAUGUCUGCUUGUUCACAAGAUGUAUAUUACUCCUUUGUGACCCUGUGCCACAUGAAUCAUAUGAACAUUACUGAUUCUAAUAAAACAUGCUAAGUAUUAAAGCACUGUCA